rnacentral:tRNA from 1 species
UGGGCCGUCGUCCAACGGUUAGGACCCGGGUUUUUGGUACCCGUUAUCGGGGUUCGAAUCCCUGCGGCCCAGCCA